CUACGGAGGAUGCGAGCGUUAUCCGGAUUUAUUGGGUUUAAAGGGAGCGUAGGCGGGAGCUUAAGUCAGCGGUUAAAUGGUGCGGCUCAACCGUGCCCUGCCGUUGAAACUGGGUUUCUUGAGAGUGCAAGAGGCGGAUGGAAUUCAUGGGGGAGCGGGGAAAUGCUUAGAUAUCACGAGGAACUCCGAUUGCGCAGGCAGCUUACUAAACUACUACUGACGCUCAGGCACGAAGGCGUGGGGAUCAAACAGGAUUAGAUACCCUGGUAGUCCACGCAGUAAACGAUGAUUACUGGCUGUUUGCGAUAUAUUGUAAGCGGCUGAGCGAAAGCGUUAAGUAAUCCACCUGGGGAGUACGGCCGCAAGGUUGAAACUCAAAUGAAUUGGCGGGG
rnacentral:rRNA from 1 species